AUGCGUUGUCUCUCUUCUCUUCUUCUCUCCCCUGUUUUUCUCAACCUGUUCAUCUCCAGAAUGGAUGGAAGGCUAGUACUUACCAUCCUGGCCCUGUGUGUAAUGAAUGACGUAACCAUUGAAAUGAGCACAUUUACCCCCCAACCUCUCACAUCAUCCAACUCCACUCCUGCUACCUCCGGUCCCAUCACUCCCAUCACUUCCUGUGUGUGUAAUAUCUCCACUUCCUGUUCCUCUCCGACCAAGCCCAAGUCUCUGCCACCUGCGCUGGGUGUUGUCAAGGUCAACUGGGAAGGAAAGUCCUGUAAGGGGGACAUACGCCUGUCUCUCCUCUUGUCCCAUUCCUUACCACUCUGUUUUAACAGUUUGGCUAAUCUUAGCCUUCAACUGGCAGAGUUGUGUGAGAGGAAGGGCUGCGAGGGCUCCCCAAAGUGGACUGAGACCCCUGCUAGGUCUGAGGGUUACCAGAUCGAUAGGGAUGGAAGGGUUACCAAUAACUCCUGUACAACACUGAGGAUCCAAUGCGAAGACGUCCCAGAUCAGUUAGUGGGCUAUAAGGUGGUGACUGGACUGCUGUGUGUUCUGGUGCUGGUGGUGCUGAUGGUGCGUUUCGGGCAGCCCUCCCUCAAGGCCUUCCGUAAGAGACUGUCAGACAAGAGACAGAGUCGGUGGAUCGGACCUACGCAGAGCCAAAGUGUCUCCUACCAUAGAGGGAAGGCUGGACUCCAACUUAACGACAACACAGACAAGAGACACUCCUACCCUGGAUUGGAGAGGCUGACGGUGAACACCAGCCGAGAGCCGUCGUCUAACAGAAACAGUGAUUAUGACUCUUAUAACUUGUGAUCAUCAUCAUCAGUCAUAUUCUUCAUCCUCUAUGACAAUAUACUGUACAUGUAUUUUUUAUAUUUUAUUAUAUUUUUUUAUGCUAAAUGUAAUAUUUUUUUACGCACAUAAUAUCAUUUUUUGUUGUUUCUGUAUGUAAUUCAAUCAUUCACUUCUUUUAUUGAAUAAAAAGUCAAGUUUGUUGUUGAGUAAAACGUUUGGACCUCAUACUGAUAACUGAACAGGAUGUUGUAAGUGAGAGAAAGAAAGAAAGUCGAUGAAAAGCAGGAUAAAAGAAAGAGGGAGA
rnacentral:lncRNA from 1 species